rnacentral:rRNA from 1 species
UGGGGGAUAUUGCACAAUGGGCGAAAGCCUGAUGCAGCGACGCCGCGUGGGGGAUGAAGGCCUUCGGGUUGUAAACUUCUUUUGCUCUGAACAAGGCGCACCAUGGGGUGUGUUGAGUGUAGGGGUUGAUUAGCGCCGGCUAACUACGUGCCAGCAGCCGCGGUAAUACGGAGGGCGCGAGCGUUGUCCGGAAUUAUUGGGCGUAAAGGGCUUGUAGGUGCCUGGUUGCGUCUGUCGUGAAAGCUCAUGGCUUAACUGUGGGUUUGCGGUGGGUACGGGCUGGCUUGAGUGCAGUAGGGGAGGCUGGAAUUCCUGGUGUAGCGGUGGAAUGCGCAGAUAUCAGGAGGAAUACCGGUGGCGAAGGCGGGUCUCUGGGCUGUUACUGACACUGAGGAGCGAAAGCAUGGGGAGCGAACAGG